rnacentral:rRNA from 1 species
CUAAUACCGCAUAGUAAGAAAGAUUCGCAUGUUUCUUCCUUGAAAGAUUUAUCGCUAUGAGAUGGACCCGCGUCUGAUUAGCUAGUUGGUAAGGUAACGGCUUACCAAGGCGACGAUCAGUAGCCGGCUUGAGAGAGUGAACGGCCACAUUGGGACUGAGACACGGCCCAAACUCCUACGGGAGGCAGCAGUGGGGAAUAUUGCACAAUGGGGGAAACCCUGAUGCAGCGACGCCGCGUGAGUGAAGAAGUAUUUCGGUAUGUAAAGCUCUAUCAGCAGGGAAGAUAAUGACGGUACCUGACUAAGAAGCCCCGGCUAACUACGUGCCAGCAGCCGCGGUAAUACGUAGGGGGCAAGCGUUAUCCGGAUUUACUGGGUGUAAAGGGUGCGUAGGUGGCAAGGCAAGUCAGAUGUGAAAGCCCGGGGCUCAACCCCGGUACUGCAUUUGAAACUGUCUAGCUAGAGUGCAGGAGAGGUAAGCGGAAUUCCUAGUGUAGCGGUGAAAUGCGCAGAUAUUAGGAGGAACACCAGUGGCGAAGGCGGCUUACUGGACUGUAACUGACACUGAGGCACGAAAGCGUGGGGAGCAAACAGGAUUAGAUACCCUGGUAGUCCACGCCGUAAAC